GAUGAACGCUAGCUACAGGCUUAACACAUGCAAGUCGAGGGGCAGCACAGUGUAGCAAUACACGGGUGGCGACCGGCGCACGGGUGCGUAACGCGUAUCCAACCUUCCCGUUACUCCGGGAUAGCCUUCCGAAAGGGAGAUUAAUACCGGAUGGUGUUUGAAGUCCGCAUGAAAUUCAAACUAAAGAUUUAUCGGUAACGGAUGGGGAUGCGUGACAUUAGAUAGUAGGCGGGGUAACGGCCCACCUAGUCUACGAUGUCUAGGGGUUCUGAGAGGAAGGUCCCCCACAUUGGAACUGAGACACGGUCCAAACUCCUACGGGAGGCAGCAGUGAGGAAUAUUGGUCAAUGGACGAAAGUCUGAACCNGCCAAGUCGCGUGAAGGAUGAAGGUUCUAUGGAUUGUAAACUUCUUUGUCUGAGGGUAAAAAGCGGACGUGUCCGUUCUGCAAGUAUCAGACGAAUAAGCAUCGGCUAACUCCGUG
rnacentral:rRNA from 1 species